rnacentral:tRNA from 1 species
UAAGCUAUAGUUUAAUUAUAAAACAUAUAAUUUGCACUUAUAAAAAAUUUGAAUAAAUUAGCUUCA